CUCAAAAUACAAGUGUAUACCCUAGAAAAUUUUAGAGCCUCAUUCUCUGUCACUCGCGCCGAAUGUUUCCCCAAAUUUUCUUCUGCUAAUCAGCCACUUCUCCUCUCAUCUAACCCUUGCUUUUGUUCCUUUCAGCUCUGCAUACUUUGUUGCCGGUAAGUAUUCCUUUCUACUUCUUUUCUUUCGGAAUUUUCCGCGCACCUUCGUGUUUUUAUUUUUUGUUUUUGGUUCAUCUUGUUCUCUCAUCUAUCAGAGAAUUUCUCUGCUUCUUCUUGUUUGUGUUUGAAAGAAUUUAUUUGUACAUUGACUUUUUUGCGUGAAGACGAGGAAAUUAGGGUUUUGGUUUAUUUAAGUAAUAUCUCUUGUUGGUUCAGCUCAUCAAGCUAUUACAAAAGAGUCCAGCGGAGACAAAGAUAGUUGCAGGCAUCCUCUUUCUUAUUCUAGGGGUUUCCCUUAAUUUUCCAAUAAUUUUUAUCUUUGCGUUACUGAUCCUUAUGACUUCGAACCAAACCAGUCCUUAUUGUGUUUGGUUUGUUAAGAUUAAGAAGUACAAAAGCUAAUGUCAUGCCUAAAGGAUUUGAAAAUUGUAAUUUUAGAUUUUGUUUUAAAAAUUUAUGAGAAAUUUGUCAUGCUUAAUUUAUCUAGACCAGUGUUUUGGAGAGCGCAAAGCGCAAAAAAGCGACAAGGGCUCGCCUCGUUUCAAAGCGCAAAGCGCAAAGAAACGCACGCUUUUUUGAAGUGAAGCGCAAUUUUUAAAAAACAUAAUGUAAAAUUAUGAAUAAUCAAAAACAUCAAUUUAAAUACUUUAAAGUAGGUACUACUCGUUUCAAAGCGCAAAAGCGCUCGCUUUUUUGAAGUGAAGCGCAAUUUUUAGAAAAAACAUAAUGUAAAAUUAUGAAUAAUCAAAUUAGGUACUAGGUACCACCAAAUCAUCCACAAACCAUCCAUAAACUAUAAGACAAGCAAAUCUUCUUCUCCUUCCAAAUUUUCAAAAUCUUGAAUUCCUCGGUUAUCUUCAUAUUGCUCGUCAUCUUCUUCUUCCCCCUCUUCAUAAUCAUUCUCAUCUUCAUCAAUGGAUAGACUUCUAGUAACCACACUUUUUCCCUUCCUAAUUGAACUUGAACUUGGAGUACAACUCCUUAAACUAUAAGGAUCCUCCCCAACUCCACUAGCAACCGCAACNNNNNN
rnacentral:lncRNA from 1 species